ACUUGGGCUCGCGUCCUCGGCCGCGCCGCGCGGCACCCGGGCCCAGCAGCCGGGAGGCGGCAGCUCUCCUCUACGCCCGUCCCCUCAGGGCGGCUGUGGAUGUUGCCAGUAUUGUCGAUGCUUCAGAGCGACGUUUGCCCUGCGACACAGGCGGGCCGGCUCUCCUCUGUCUUUAUUUUCCUGGAGGCCGACAGGAGCGGGGCCCGAGUUCGGUGGUGGUCGUGAGCGUGGGGGGCACUCAGGCCCGGACGGGCUCUCAGGUCGCCGACGGCGGCGGCUGGAGGCCGCGCUGGCUGUCCCAGGUCGUCGUUAGCUUUAGGGAGCCGAUCUCCGGGCGGCCCCACAGAGGACGCCCGCGAUUCGAUGGCGAUGAUGCCCGUUUUAAAUGGUGUCCCUGCAGCCGGGUGGAUGGAUGGAUCGUACACCUUGCCUUUUGAGAGCCGGGACCUUACGCCCGACUGCGUGUUAUUUCUGCGAAUAAGAACGCAACCUUUGGAGGUGAAGACGACUGUCGGCUGGAUUGAAUUGGAAUCGUGUUUGUGAUGAUGCGUUUAUUUCUGGAAAUACGCGGUCUCCGCUGCUUUUGCUUUUUGUCGGCAGAGGUUUGGGUUCUUCUCUAACGGUCAGGAUAAAGGCCUGUAGGCGACGCUGCGCGAGCGAGAAGCUCGCCCGCGGCUGCCCGGGCGCCCCCCUCUAGGUGUGGGUGGAGCCGAGCGCGCGGGGAGAACCGCCGGCCCCGACUCAGCCACCGGUGACUGCGGGCGACCCGCGGGCCUGCGGCCAGCUGAUUUCAAACAUCGUUUUCCUCUUUAGGUUCGGAAAACUGAGGCGCUGGACAAGGCUGGAAUACAAUAUGUGAUUAUACGUACAGUACUAUGGUUGUUGUAGUUUUUAAAUUGUAAAACAAGAAGUAACCAUUGUUCCACCGUUCUCUAUUAAGUUUGUGUAAAUUAAAAAGGGGCUAUUUUCGGUAAAAAGUGCAGUAGGUAAGCGGAAUUUUACUCAACCGGGACGAAAUUCGUGUUAUAUGAAUUGUAUUGUGUAUUUGUGUGUGUACCAGUGCGCUAAAAGUAAGUAGGAAAACUUGCUUAGAUUAUUCCUUUUGCCUCAGGCCACUCAGGGGGCCAAGAUCCUGUCACUCCUUUUCUCUAGGCCCUGCGAAUGGCUUCCCGUCUUGAGGGGAGUGAGCCAAAGCCUUGACUGCGGCAGAAGUCCCCGCGCGCCGUUGAGGGUGGGGGCGGGCCUGCCCUGGCAUCCUUGCGAGUAGGACUCUUCCCUGAGCGUCGUCCACAGGGCUUGCUCCUUCACCUUCAGGAUUUUGCUCGUGUCACUCGGUGCUUCCGCGGCUACUUUUAAACUGAAAGUUCCCUAGCCCCCUUCUCAUUUUAUCCUUUGGACAGUCUACAUAUCCAUACUUGUUUAUCUUCUUAUCUCUCCUUCCCCAGUGCAAUGUAAGCUCUAAGAGGACAAGAGGUUGUGUUUUUCUGCACUGGUGUUACGGCCCCCGCCUAGAAUGCCACACAGUAGAUGCGUAGUAUGUGGUUAAGGAAUGAAUGCGAUUAUAAGGGCCUUGAUGCUCCCCCAUUUCUGUCUUUAAUAUGUACUUAUAUGCUACAGAGAGCUUUAUAAAAGAUUUAAAACACGUUUAUUACAGAAUUCUAUAAAAAUAUAUUGCUUCUAAACAUUGGAAAGCCCUCCACAACACCAGAAACCCACAAAUGAGGGAUAAAAUUUGUUUUUAGGCUUCUGUAAAUGAGCAUGCCCGAGGACAGUGCAUCAAAUGAUCAUAUCCAUACUGGGCCGAUUAUGUUUGCUCUUCUGAGUCUCAAACUGCAUUCUUCAUCUUGUCGUCCUCUGUCUUUCAAAAUACAUUAAAAGUGAGAAUUUGGUUGGCUCAGAGCAAAUCCAGCACUAUUGGAAAAGUUCAUUCAGCAAGUAUUUAUUGGGCACAAAUGGGUACCAGGCACGCUAAUUCAAAAGGUGUGUGUUUCUGAGGCUAGAAGGCCUUACAUAAAGGACCACAUGUGGCUACUUUGGUUGCUACUCAAUUAUGCUGUCAAGCAAAGCAAAUGCUAGUGAAAUUUAUUUUUAGUUUUCUUCUGAAGAAAAGGUUCAAUGAAAGCUGAGGUCAGGCUUGGUGUGGAUAUUUUAAUUCACCAUUUAGUUUGCUGUUUGCUUACACUUAGGUUAGCAUUAGAUAUACUUAAUCAUGAUUUUUGAGUACUAUAAAACGUGAGAAAUCUUAUUUCCUAGUGGCUGGAAAAACAGGCUUUUUAAAUUAAAAUAAGUAAAUAUAUCAGUAAGCUAGAAGCUAUGCAAUAAGGCUUUGGCUAUGGUAUUACAAAUUUUCAUAUUUCAUGUAUUGAAUUUUUGGACAAGAAAAGACAGCCUUGAUAGGUAUUUUAUAACCAUUAAUACAAUUAAUCAAACAUUGUUUAGUAAAUCCAAUCGUCUAUUCAUUAUUAUUUUUCCCAUUAAUCUUCAGAACAGCUUUAAGUUAAUACAGAUGACUCAGAAUGUGUUUUUCACUCAGUUUCAAAAUACCAUUAUUUCAAUUCGCUAAUAGAAGCACAAUUAUCUUCUUGUCUGCUUUCUUAAAUGUUACUGGUAAACUAGUAAUUUUGCAUGUCCAGGUAACUGCAGCUGCUACAGUCAAUCUGCUUUGGAAAGUCUUGGCAUUAUUGUGUCAUUUAAUUUAAAAUUUUUAAGUUUUUUUAGUUUCUUCCCUUAUUGAGGACUUAUUAGGCGCUAAUUAGCUUUAUGCUAGACAUCUCAUGCAUGGCAGUGAAUGAAAACAACACUGCCUUUGAGGGUUUUAACUUGUAUAUAGUUUAUACCAUUUUUUUUCCAGGUUAUAGAAUCAAAGAAAUUGUUUCAAUUCAUAUCACAGUAUUUCUCUAUUAAAUCAAAUGGUAUUUUGCUUGCAUAAAUUUAAGUAUCCAAGUUGAGAUCUUACAUAGAAUCUGUUAAUCUAAUAUUAGUGUUUUCUUCAUUUCAUUGUCUUGGGUUUUUUUUUCUUAAUAAUUAUUUUUCCCAAUACCAUCCAUUUGUUUUGCUCUUACAUUUUUAAGUCUUUUAUGUUCCAAAUCAGGUGACUUACAUCCUCCACUUGUCCAUUGAGGAUAGCCCAGUAAACCUUUAUUCUGACUUUAAAUUGCCUCCUUGCUUCAAGAACUGAGUUGCAUGACUCAGUUUUCUUUGCUAGAAAUAUCCCUGGAUAGUCUCGUAUGUAUUCUUGAUCAAUGAAUUGCAGAAGAUUUGAUUAAAAAUUUUAAAUGGAUUUCAGGGAUAAACUAUUUGUAUCAAAUGUCAUCACCAGGAAUUUCUACAACUGAAAAAUUUGAAUUGUUAUUUUUAUUGAAGAAUAUUUAUCUUUAAGAUAAAUGCAACUUGCUAUAAAAUGAUAGAAAUGAAAAAUUUUAGAAAAUCAUUUUCUACUCACUAUUUUAUGCCUGCCAGUUAUCCUUUGUUAGUGAUAAAAUUGUCUUUUAUGGGAACGAAUUUGUUAAAGGUAGAAAAAAAACUGGUAGUGUAUGUAUGUUUUAUAGAUUAGACACUACCAAAAUUAUUUAACAUUUAGAAUAAUUAACUUGCUUUCAGGAUGACAGAUGACUUAAGAAACUGAUGAAGGGUUAAUUAAGGAUAUUGAUUUUUAGGGCAGAACUACAAAAUUAUCAAAUCACUUAACACUGUAAAUAUGUUCCUGUUUCAGGUUUUCAAAGUAAAUACCUUAAUCAAAUUUGGAAAUAGUAUUUAUGGAUUUUAUUCAACAUAGAUUAUCUAUUUUGUUAAAAUUAUAGAAAUGAACAGUUCUUUUCCCAUGGAUGCCUUUUUUCAUCUUGGCCUAUUCUGAUCCUUUAAGAACAAGCUUUGUCCUUUCAUUAAUACUUCUCACCUAUAAUUACGAAUUUUCUCUAAACUUGUAGAUUUUAUUAUCCAUGCCAUCUAUUUAUAAUCCUAUGACACUCCUAUAUUGUUUAUGGUUUUUUUGUUUUUUUUUGUUUUUUUUUUUAGACGAAGUCUUGCUCUGUCACCCAGGCUGGAGUGCAGUGGUGCAAUCUCGGCUCACUGCAAGCUCCGCCUCCCGGUUCACGCCAUGCUUCUGCCUCAGCCUCCCCAGUACCUGGGACUACAGGCGCCCACCACCACGCCCGGCUAAUUUUUUGUACUUUUAGUAGAGAUGGGGUUUCACCGUGUUAGCCAGGAUGGUCUCCAUCUCCUGACCUCGUGAUCCCCCGGCCUCGGCCUCCCAAAGUGUUGGGAUUACAGGCGUGAGCCACUGUGCCUGGCCUUACUGUUUAUGUUUUCAUGCAUCUAUACCUUAUGUUACUAAAUCAAAGUGACCAGUUCCACAUUAUACUACAAGUUUCACUGUGUAAUGCAUAAGAAUUACACAGAGGGAAGGGCCUCAAAAAAUGCACUUCUGAAGUAUUUUAAUGUAAAAUUAUUUAAGACCAUAAAGUUUCAUGAAAGCCUAAUCUUUCUGGAACCUACACAUACUCUGCAUGUGAACCAGAGUUAAACUAGUCAAGUAUUUUAAUACUGAACUAAUCUGGAAAAACAUCAUUUAAAAAAUUACUGUAUUUAUGAAGGAAGAAUAUAAAAUCUGUUAAAAACUUAAAACAUCUAAAAUAGGUAUGAAGAGAGGCUUAUGGUGCUCAUUUUAACAGCAUUCUUGAGUAGGUUACCUUGCAGUCAAAGCAUCUGCUCCAGACCAGUGUUUUAAACUGUGGAUUAUGGUACCACUAUGGGUCAUGAAAUUAAUUUAUUGCAUUAUGACUAGCAUUUUUUAUUUAAAAUAGAGAAAAGAAUAGAAAAUAAAAGCGUACAUCACAGAUGGUAAGGGUAUGUGUUUUUAAGUAAACAUUUGUUCAUGUGUAUAUGUGUUAGAUUACCUUGUAAAACAUAUUCCUUAUUGUGGGUUACAGGCCAAAAAAAGUGUUUGUUUUUGUUUUUAAAAAUCUACAGUUCAGAUUUUCCUUAGAAAAUGGGGAAAAAAGGAAUGUUAGAAAGAUCUGACUGCCUAUGAACUAGUGAAGGAUUUUAGAGGAAGUACCAGGCUAUUUUAGAGAUCUGAUACUGGUUUCAGAAAGGUAAUCUUAAGGCAAAGGGUAGGAAAUAAAGUUAUGUUGUUAGUAGAAAUGUCAAAUACGGUUAAAGUUGUGAGGAGGAAUUAUUUUCCUAGUGGACCUACAUUUGUUGUGUGUAGAUCUGUGACUAUUACUGAUCUGUUGUAGCACAUUUUCCAAUCUAAAAUGUCCGAUACAGCACAAUAAUAAACAUGGGGCAGAAUAUAUGUUUGUUUCUAUUUCUUCCCACCUUCCCUUCAAUCUUAAAACAAGUGUUUAUUAAUAAGUCAGACCAAAGCAAAUUUCUAUCUUUCACAGAGUAAUUAUCAUAGGAACAAAUUACUCCCUGAAAAUGGUGGAAACUUCUUUCUCCCUCCGAAAAAUAAACUUUCAAUAAGUGUUUUCUCUCUAGCCAAAGUAAAUAAGUUCUUAAAUAGGUAACUCUCAUUUGCCAUCCAACUCAUUCUAUAUAUUUAAAUAAAUGUACUUACACUUGUGUAUAGGAUUUAAAAGGGGGAAACUUAAGAAGGAAGAAAUUGUGUAUAGAAUUUAAAAAGGAGGCAUUAUAUUGCAUGAGUAGAAUGAAAAGUAUCUAACCAGAAAGCAAAUAAGUUAAGGAUUAUAUUAUACUGAAAUAUUUUAAUACAAUUUAAAUAUUUCAUUACUCUUUCACUUUAUUUGCUAUUUGUAGAUUUCAGUAUUGUAAUGUUGGCAAGUCUAUUUAAGACGGCAUUAAUAAAAAUUUUGUUUUUCAGGCAUGUGAUACCAAGUCCCUUUCCAUUAUAGAUAAGUAAGGCCUAGGUUGGUUAAAACCUUAGCUAAACACAAAAUUUGCUAGAGAAUCAACAUAUAAGAAGCUCUAACUCCAAGCUUAUUCACCCCAGAUAUUUCACCAAUGUUAACACAUACCCUAUUGAACUAAGAAAGGAAUUAUAUUACUAACCAGCAGAGGGAGCCAAGUCAAUCAUGAAAGGUAGGAGUAUAAAGGAACAUCAUAUGACUUCCUGUUUUGAAUUUAACUGUAUGGCCCCUGCUCACUUUUUGAGUUUACCAAAAAGACAGUCAUAAGGAGAGAAAGGCGACCAAUGUAUCAAAUAAGGAUACAGUGACAAUUAUAACUUAGAAUUACCUUGCAGGAAAUAAAUUGGAAGAAAAAUUGAAUGCAGAACUAUACAAGUGAAAUGUCUCAGUAUUAUAACCCAAGAUGGAAAAACCAUGGAAAACAGUACCUUAAUGCCAUGAUGAAUUGCUAGCCAAAUGUAACAGUGAAUAUUUCUUAAUAAUUCCAUUUUCACUUAAAGUUGAAAUUAGGCCAUAAAUAGACACAUUUUAAAACUAUAAAGUUGUACAUCAAAUUUAUGUGCAUUUAAUCUAAGAAAUAAGGGAUAAAAUUUAAUAAAAAAUUAUUACAGUGAAUUAAUAAGGACAUGAUUUUUCAGCUUAAAAUUAGAGAACAGAAUUGUUUCCACUACUGUUUAUAAACACAACAAAUAAAGUAAUAUCUGUUUUGUGAGAGAUGUUUGGAGGAAUCUAGUAGCUAAGUGAUUAUGUCAGUUUAUUUAAUUUUGUCUAAGAACUUCAAAAUGCCUGAUAGAAUGGGUGCAUAUUGAAUGAAUAGAUGUGAUCUAUAUAUUAUUUGAAGUAAAAGUAUAAGAGCUGAGCGUUAGCUAACUGCAUCAAAAUAAAUGUAAAGACCCAAACAUUUUUAGUUGAAUAACCAAAUGAAUUAGCUAGUCUAGCCCCUUACUCGUUUCAAGGUUUGUGGAAACAUACCAUAUAUACUUUUACUCAUGUGUUUAUUCCUUUCAAAAAUAUACUUCUUAAGCACUAUCUCCAUAGGACGUGGAGCAUAUCUUCAUUAUGAAGUAGACAAACUUCUUAAAUUUUAUUGAAAGAUUUAAUUUCAUUGAUAUAUGAACAAUCAUACAAAUUCAGUAUGCCACCAGUGAUUUCAAGAAAGUGAUACUUAGAAGCAAAUCAUUUAUGGGACUAGACUGCCUUUGUAGGACUAACAAAUUAGGCACAAGAUUAGAAAUUAUAGUUUAAUAGUCAUGCAGCUGGAGGCUACACGAUUCUGACCCUCCCUAACCUGCUCCUAAGAUCAGUGCUUGAGAUAUUCUGCAGACCCUGCACUUGAUGGAUCAGCUGGCACCACCCAGAUCAAUAAACUGGCUCAUCUGAUCUUGUGGCCACCACCCAGGAACUGAUUCAGAGCAAGAGGACUGCUUCAAUUCCCUAUGAUUUCAUCUCCAACCCAACCAAUCAGCACACUCUAUUCACUUGCCUUCCCCCACCCACCAAAUUAUCCUUAAAAACUGAUCCCCAAAUGCUCCAGGAGACUGAUUUGAGUUAUAAUAAAACUCCGAUCUCCAGCCAAAAAAUAAAAAAUAAAAAGCAAAUUAUUUGAUUUUGAGUACUAGAAAGUAGACUUUAAACUUUUUGAAGGGUAUAUUCUUUUAUAAUGCUAUAUUAUACUGGCAUUAUUUUAUAAAUUGGCAUUUGGUGUCAAGUCAGUUAAUCACAGCGAUAAUAUCCAAGAUGUACAGCUCAUCAGUCCUAGAGACAUUUUUUUUUGUUUGUUUAAGACAGAGUCUCUGUCACCCAGGCUGGAGUGCUGCAGUGGUGCGAUCUCGCCUGCCUCGGCCUCCCAAAGUGCUGAGAUUACAGGCGUGAGCCACUGCGCCCAGCCUAGAGACAUUUUAAUGCCAAAAAACCCUCAAUGCCACCAGUAUUACUACUUCUAAUUAUUUGUUUCCUUUACACACGAGUUGUGAUGAAUAUGGGCUAUUAGAAUUGCAUAAACAGCCUAAGCUUUUAAAUGUUUCCACUCAUGAAAAAUAGCUAUUAUGAACUUUUAAACAUUAAAUUAAUAAAGUGCAAUAGCUUUACCAUGAACUAUUCCUUAUUGAUAAACAUAGUAAUGGGUUAACUCAUGUCAAAGUCCAAUAAAAACUAGUAACUUUGUCACCAAAGUCAACAUUUCAGCAUCUAUGAUAUGUAGUAUAGGUAUUUCUGUUUUAUCUAGUUUUCAUUUAAUAAUCUAAAAGAUUCUGGCCGGGCACGGUAGCUCACGCCUGUAAUCCCAGCACUUUGAGAGGCCGAGGGAGGCAGAUCACGAAGUCAGGAGAUAGAGACCAUCCUGGCUAACAUGGUGAAACCCCGUCUCUACUAAAAAUACAAAAAAUUAGCCGGGCGUGGUGGUGGGCGCCUGUAGUCCCAGCUACUAGGGAGGCUGAGGCAGGAGAAUGGCGUGAACCCGAAAGGUGGAGCUUGCAGUGAGCCGAGAUUGCACCACUGCACUCCAGCCUGGGCGACAGAGUGAAACUCCGUCUCAAAAAAAUAAAUAAAUAAUAAAUAAAUAAACUCAAAAACCAAACAAAGGCUGGUGAGAAAAUAGCUCAUUUCUUGUCUUAUUCCAGAGUAAGGAGUGGUGACAGAUUAGGAAAAGCAUCAAAAAAGUGGCUUCCAGUGAACAAAAUCAGGAAGUUUGAGUAAAGAAUUUCUCUUUUGCUAAAAACUUAAAUAUAAAAGUUUAGUCAGGAAUUUGUACCCACACAUGUAUACUGCUUUUAACAUUUUUCUCUAGACAUUUGAAAUAUUUUAUUUUCUCUUUAAAAAAGCAGCACCAAAACCUAAAUUUAAUAGUAAUGUUUCUGAUUUAUCAGCUUCUUUCCAUCUUACACUGUUGAAUUCUGUACUGCUUCUAAAGCACCUACAAUUAACUCUACAAGAACUGCACAAUUAACACUCGGCAUUGCCUUCUUCCUAAUUCUAACAUCGACAUUCAUCAGCUUUCUCCAAUACAGUCAGAUGAUUCCUUAUAAUCAUAUCUAGCCAAAUGAUGUAACUUUUGCUUGAUGUAUGGGAAAAUAGCUUACAUUAUGAAUUUAGAAGAGCUAUAGUAGUAUUUGACAAUAUAGAUGGAAAAGUAUUUUUAAUUUAAAGAACAUAUUGCACAUCUUUCAGAAUUUCUGUAAAAACUUUUGAAUGUCCAUUUUGGCUAGGAGCUUAGAAAUGAUCAUGCUUAAGUUUAAUUUUGUGUUUACAUUAAAUCUUUUGGAUUUUCAUUCUGUAUACAAUAUUGCUGUAAAACAUCAUAGUUGUGAAAUCUGGCUCUUUAGGAGAUGCUUACCAUAAAACUGGUUUGAAAACUAUUCUGACUACAGUGUAGCUAUUACAUUCACUAAUAAGAAUUUAGUAUGCCUCUGAAUAUAAGUAAGUCUCUAAUUCCCUAUUUUUUUGGAAUAUUACUGUAUUCUAAGAAUAUCAGAAUAUGAGCUUCUUAAAGAUUUUGAAUUAGCAUAUCCAAAUUGACAGAUAACAUUCUUAGGUGGGGCGUGGUGGCUCAUGCCUAUAAUUUCAGCACGUUGGGAGGCUGAGGUGGGCGGAUCACUUGAGGUCACGAGUUUGAGACCGGGCUACAAGGUGAAACCCCAUCUCUACUAACAAUACAAUAAUUAGCCAGGUGUGGUGGUGCAUGCCUGUAAUCCCAGCUACUUGGGAGGCUGAGGAACAAGAAUUGCUUGAACCUGGGAGGCAGAUAUUACCCCACACUCAACAAAUAAAUAUGAAAGAACUUUACUUACAGGAUAACAUCAUGAUAAAAUUUGCAUUUUAGAAUAACUCUACAAUUAACAAUAAAAAGAAGUACCUAUAACAUUACCCCACAAAAGGGAUAAGGUGUGGUGAACUUGGAAAUUUCAUACAAUUUAGAAAUAUGUAUUGAGCUGUAAAAAUGUUCAUAUUCAUUGACAUAAAACUUUCACAUCUGAACUCUUGAGGUGGCUAUAUAUUGCUUUUGUAAUUUCAAUGAAAACAGAAGCUUGGGCAACUGAAUGAAGGAAGGAUGGAAUGUAAGAGAGGGUGGAGAAAGGUGAAUCAAUGAGAAAGUUAAUGUAACCAGUCAAAUGAUUUAAUAAUUUAUUUUUUAGCAGCAAAUCUCCUUAACAAUAAUACUUUCAACUUAAUAAUACUUUCAUCCCACAUCUAGAAAGCUUACAGCAAACUUUCCAAGUAGUUUGUCUGUUCUCACCCCAAGGUGCAACUCCAAUGCAACCCACGCUUGCUGACCAUUCUUGCUGCUUCACUUUCAUCACUCCUCCAUAACACGUUUAUCUGACUACCAACCUUCUCAUAAUAUCUAUCCACUCACCAUUGGUUCCCACCAUCCCCACACAUUUUGGUUCCUUUAAAUCAAGGGUAAAUAUAGUCUUGAUUGUUCAUGUCACCUAGUGGUAAGACAAAAACUAGCAUGACAGGGUGGAAGUGAAGAUUAUGCCAUAUUUCAGAGGUUUACAUGUUUUCCAGUAGUGAAUCACAACUAUCAGAAAUCCAUAUGUAUGUGGGCCACAUACAUUUUAAAUUAUAACAAUAGUAGAAUUAUAACCUAUUAGCUAUUCAAAAGUAUUUAGUUUUUGGCUGAGGACAGUGGCUCAUGCCUGUAAUCCCAGCAGUUUGGGAGGCUGAGGUGGGAGGAUUGCUUGAGUCUGGCAGUUCAAGACCAGACUGGGCAACAUAGUGAGACCCCCAUCUCUAAAAACAAUUUUUUUUUUAUUGGCCAGGUGUGGUGGUGUCGACCUGUCAUCCCAGCUACUUGAGAGGCUGAAGGGGGAGGAUCGCUUGAGCCCAGGAGGUAGAGGCUGCAGUGAGUCAUGAUGGCACCACUGCACUCCAGCCUGGGUGACAGAGUGAGAGCCUGUCUCAACAACCAGAAAAAAAGUAUUUAGUUUUACAGUAUUACAAAGUAGUGUCACAUUAGUUUAAUGAGGUUUAUUUAUACAAAGGUGUAAAAUUAUGGGCCAAGUACUAGCCUUCAAGUAAUUUCGAAGUCAGCGAGAAUACUGGUAUAUAACGGAUCAAACUUUGUUCAAGAACCAAAGGCUAUUGUUCAACGAAUGGUGCUGAGACAACUGCAAAAGACUAGGACCCUUACCUCACAUGCAAAAGACUGGGACCCUUACCUCACACCAUUUUGCAAAAAUUAGCUCAAAAUGGAUCAAUGACCUAAAUGUAAGAGAAAACCUAUAAAAUUCUCAGAAAAAAACAGAAGGAUAAAUUUGUAUAACCUUGGAUUUGACAGGAUUCUUAGCUAUGACAACAAAAACACAAGCCUCCAGAAGCAAGCAAACAAAAACACCAUAAACUGGACUUCAUCAAAAUUGAAAACUUUAGUGGUUCAAAAGACACCAUCAAGAAAGUGAAAAAAUCCACAGAAUAGGAAAGAUAUUUGCAAAUCAUGUAUCUGAUAAGGGAUCUAUGUCUAUAAUAUGUAACGAACUCUUAAUAAAAAAUAACCCCACUUAAAAUGGGCAAUGAAUCUAAAUAGACAUUUCUCCAAAGAAGAAAUGCAAAUGGCCAAUAAGUACAUGAAAAGAUGCUUGACAUCACCAGAGAAAAGCAAAUAAAGAAACUGCAAGGUUUUCAUUCUUCUUCACUUACAAGGCUUCAUUCUCACUAUGAUAGCCAGAAUAAAAAAGUCAGAUAACAACAAUUAUUGGCAAAGAUAUAGAGGAAAACUGCAAACCUUAUACAUUCUGAUAGGAGUGUAAAAUGGUGCAGCCACUUUGGAAAACAGUCUGGCAGUUCCUCAAGUGAUUAAACAUCUAGUUACUAUAUGACCCAGCAAUUCUACUACUAGGUAUAUACCCAAGAGAAAUGAAACCAUAUGUCCACACAGAAACUUGUACACAUUUGUUUACAGAAGCAUUAUUCAGAAUCACCAAAAGGUGGAAACAACCCAAAUGUCCAUCAACUGACACAUGCAAAAGUAAAAUAUGGUAUCCAUAUAAUGGUAUAUUAUGGUAUAUAAAAGAAUGAAGUACUGAUACAUGCUGCAACAUGAAUGGAUCCUGAAAUCAUUAUGUUAAGUGAAGGAAGCUAGUCACAAAAGACCAUAUGUUAUAUGAUUGCAUUCAAAUGAAUGGAAUAUGGAAAUCUAUGCAGACAGAAAGUAGAUUACUGGCUGUUUAAAGCUGAGGGUGGGAGCAUGGGUGGGCAGGGGAAUAGCUAAAGGGUACAGAGUUUCUUUCCGAGGUAAUGAAAAUGCUCUAAAAUUGACUGUAGUGAUGAUUGCACAUAUCUGUGAAUAUACUAAAAACCACUGAAUUGUACACUUUAAAUGGGUGAAUUGUAUGGUAUGUGAAUUCUAUUUCAAUGAAACUGUUAAAAAAAAAAAAAAGCGGGGGGGGGGAACUGAAUAUAGACAGGGCCCAUCUCAAUUCCCAGUCCAGGUUUACAUUAUUGAAAGUGGCCCUUAGAUUUUAUUUCCAUAGUUUCAGGAAAGAAAAUAUACAUUAAAAGAGUUGGAAGACUCUAAUGUUGCAAGAAUUUGACUACAGAGCCAGAAAUUUCAGAAUGGUAAUAUAUGAUGUAUAUGUUCAUUAAAAAAAAUCCUAGAGAUUAUAUGAGUUUGCUUUCAGCUCAAUCAAUUCCUCUUGAAGUAGAGCCAUGUUGACAAGGCAGAUGCUUACAAAAUUCAAACACAUCUCUCUAGUCAGCUGCAGAAACUUAAAGCAUAAUUCAUGCUAAUGAAAACUAGUGAAUUUCUUCUGAAAUUCAGAUUUUAUUUCUACCAAAUAGCUCAGCCGUUCUUCAAAUUCUGUGAUUCCAUUUAGCACAGGACAGUUCUGAUAUGGGACAUGAAUGCACGCUCCAAGUAACAUCUACCCAACUCCCCAGGUACUGGUAUUAAUAUUAAUAACUAUAGUUCCUUCACAGACUCAUCUAUUUUCUUACUUUUUUCUCUACAGUCUCAAGUUCAGUGUAUUCAGAUAUCUUGCUUGCAACAUCAAACAGAAAAUAUAAUCAUGUUAGGUAUUUGAGUUCGGACAAAGAGGGAUCCCUUUAAUUACCAAAAGUUUUACACCUGAGAUAGCAUCAUUGUGGCUUUCUUCAACAAGCUUCCAUAAUCUUAUCACCUUAUUGC
rnacentral:lncRNA from 1 species